rnacentral:rRNA from 1 species
CCUACGGGUGGCAGCAGUGAGGAAUAUUGGUCAAUGGACGAGAGUCUGAACCAGCCAAGUAGCGUGAAGGAUGACUGCCCUAUGGGUUGUAAACUUCUUUUAUAUGGGAAUAACAUGUUCCACGUGUGGGAUUUUGUAUGUACCAUAUGAAUAAGGAUCGGCUAACGCCGUGCCAGCAGCCUCGGUAAUCCGGAGGAUCCGAGCGUUAUCCGGAUUUAUUGGGUUUAAAGGGAGAGUAGGUGGAUUGUUAAGGCCGGUGUGAAAGGUUGCGGCUCAACCGUAAAAUUGCAGUUGAAACGGGCAGUCUUGAGGACAGUAGAGGUAGGCGGAAUGCGUGGUGGAGCGGUGAAAUGCUUAGAUAUCACGAAGAACUCCGAUUGCGAAGGCAGUUCACUGGACUGCAACUGACACUGAGGCUCGAAAGUGUGGGUAUCAAACAGGAUUAGAUACCCUGGUAGUC